UAUCUCUGUAGAGUCUGCAUAUCAAUAAGCGGAGGAAAAGAAACUAACUAGGAUUCCCUUAGUAACGGCGAGUGAAGCGGGAAGAGCUCAAAUUUGAAAUCUUCAAGGUUUUACCUUGACGAAUUGUAGUUUAAAGAAGUGUUUUCUGUUGGUGUUUUGGUAAAAGUUCUUUGGAAUAGGACAUCAUAGAGGGUGAGAAUCCCGUAUUUGACCAUUACUUCCAGCUUUGUGAUACACUUUCAAAGAGUCGGAUUGUUUGGGAAUGCAGUCCAAAAUGGGUGGUAAAUUUCAUCUAAAGCUAAAUAUUGGCGAGAGACCGAUAGCGAACAAGUACCGUGAGGGAAAGAUGAAAAGAACUUUGAAAAGGAGAGUUAAACAGUACGUGAAAUUGUCAAGAAGGGAAGCGUUUGACACCAGUGUUGUUUUCUCGAAAAUCAAUUAAAAAUGGCUUGAUUUUGUGUUGUAUUGACCUUAAAAGCUUUCCUUCACUUUUUUCAUGUCUUUUUUAAUGCACUUUUCGUUUAACAAGUCAACAUCAGUUUCUUUUGUUGUAAAAAGGUCAUUGGAAGGUGGCUUUCUUUUCGGAGAAAGUGUUUAUAGCCUUUGACUUCUGCAAUCGGAGAGACUGAGGUCUGCAGCGUAGAUCCUUCUGGAUUAGAUUCAUUUGUGCUAAGUUACAACCGUUUAUAGACAACUUGUUGACUAUAUUCGAUCCUGUAGCUUACUCGCUUAUGUAAUUUUACCUACGCUUAGGAUGUUGAUAUGCAUGACUGAUAU
rnacentral:rRNA from 1 species